rnacentral:lncRNA from 1 species
AAAAGAUCUUAUUUUGCCUUAAUGCCUUGAAAAAUAUUCAGGAAUUAUAAAUUGACUGAUUUUUUUAAGAAUUCAGCCUCUAAAGGUGUCACUUCAUUGUCUUGUGAAAACUCGGCUUUUCCUCUCAUCUUCCUUCUUUGGUCACGAUGUGUCCUCUUCUCCGACUGUUCUGACAUGUUCUCUUGAUCAUGCUCUUGAGUGACGGUAUCACCAUGAGGCAGGGCUUGGGUUCUUUUGUUUUAUUCUUCCUGGGAGGUUUAUUGAACUUCUUGGAUCUGUGGGUUUGUGGUUCUCAUCAAAUUUGAAUGUGUUUUAGUUCCUAGUUCUUCAGUCUCUCACCAUCUCCUGUCCCUCCUCCGGAGUCUCCAGUUACACGUAUGUCAGACGCUUGAUAUUGUCCGUCUGUCACUAAUGCUGUUUAAUUUUUCCCUUGCCUUUGUCUCUGUGCACUUUGUUCUAAUAGUUUCUAUCACUCUAUUUUCAGAUCCACUGAUGGUUCUUUCCUUGGGCAUCUAAUGCACUUUUCAUUUCAUGCAGUGUGGUUUUUUUGUUUUGUGUCUGAGCCUCUCCUCACUUGCUUCCCUCCUCCCAGGCAGUGGCCCGAGCUGCCCAUCUCCAAUGUCUGAAAACCACUGCUUCCGACACUCGGUCUGACUCUUAUUUAAGGUGGGAGGACAAAUCUGGUCCCCAUUUCUCCAUUAUGGCCAGAAACAGAAUUCAGACACAUUCUUACCACCGCGGUGAGCUACUUAAGUUCACAGAUGAAAACCAAAGAAUCCCAUCAGGCAGAGUAGUGACCACAGACAGACGGCUGCGAGGUGAGCUCGGUUUACCGUACGGCUUUAGGUUUGCCAGGGAGAUCUCCAAAUUUCCCCCCGGGGCCGGUCUCUCCAUCUCCAUGUUGGGAACAGUAGACUGGGGGAGGCCUGAUUCCUACAGGAACUAUCCUUGCAUGUCCAUCGGACCACGUUACUGGAAACUGGACCUGCUGCUCCUGCAGCACCCUGAGGUGCUGUCCUGGCCUCCAUGUGUCCCUUGAGAUCUGAUAAACCUGUGGCCCAGCCACACCAAUGUCCCCCCAGCUCUCCUGCUGAAAGCCACCAGUCCUGUGUGAGCAGUCUCCCUGCAGGGUUCCUUGACACUACUUUUUACUGCUGCCCAGAAGGAAAACAGCAUGUGUUUCCUUGUCACUAAAACAGGAGGGGAGGGAGGGGGGGAGGCCAGACCUCCCGCCAGGGAUGCCACAGUCAGACCAGCUGACCCAGCC